UCCUGGCUACAGGACGAACGCUGGCGGUGUGCUUCACACAUGCAAGUCGAACGAGGUAGCAAUACCUAGUGGCGGACGGGUGAGUAACGCUGGGAAUCUGCCUUGAGAUGGGGGAUAACGAGCCGAAAGGCUCGCUAAUACCGCAUAUGCCGAAAGGUGAAAGGAGUAAUCCGUCUUAAGAUGAGCCCGCGUCCGAUUAGCUAGUGGUGGGGUAAAGGCCUACCAAGGCGACGAUCGGUAGCUGGUCUGAGAGGAUGAUCAGCCACAAUGGGACUGAGACACGGCCCAUACUCCUACGGGAGGCAGCAGUGGGGAAUUUUACGCAAUGGGGGAAACCCUGACGUAGCGACACCGCGUGAGCGAAGAAGCCCUUUGGGGUGUAAAGCUCUGUCAGCUGGAACGAAAAAAUGACGGUACCAGCAGAGGAAGCAUCGGCUAACUACGUG
rnacentral:rRNA from 1 species